rnacentral:lncRNA from 1 species
AAAGAAACAAGGCACCAAUAGAGUAAUACUAUGAACUAUCUAUCCCAAAUCACAAACAAAACCAAAAUACUACGAACAAGAAACUACAAGACACGUCCAGAACACAAUGACUACAGGCAAAACUACAAACAGAGACCCCCUCCCUACUACUAAGGACGCACUCCUACCCACUAACCCUCUACCCUAAUCUACGUCCUCCACACCUUUCAAUCAAGGGUCAUGUCCUACGUAACCUAUAACUGCUCAAUGUCAUGCUUAAUCACCUCCCUCCAAUAUUUCUUCAGCCUACCUCUACCCUAUCUGAAUACACAGCAUUAUUCAUUUGAGAAAAAAAAUAUGAAGAACACAUGAGAAAAAUCCACCGAAAAUCAUUAGCAUUAUAACCUUACUGCACGGAACAAAAUACAGAAACCAACCAAGUGAAAGGCCACUAGGAAACAAUAAAAAAACCAUGUCAUUAAAGAGUGAUAUGUAUAUCACUAGAUUCAAAAAACCAUGAGAAGAAAAAUUCACAAAUCCCUAGAUUUACACAUAUAAACAACAACAACAAACCCAGUGUAUUCCCACAUAGUAAGGUCUGGGAAGGGUAAGAUGUACGCAGUCCAUACCUCUACCUCUAAAGAAGUAGAAAGGUUGUUUCUGAUAGACCCCCGGCUCGAGACACGGAAUACUUAACAAAUUCAUAGUAAAGCAUGGAACAAGAUGGCAUAACAUAAAUACGACACCCACAAGUAAUAGAAAACAGAGAAAAGUAAACAGAUUCGUAAUAAAGCAUGAAACAAGGUAUCAUAACAAGAAU